CACUGAGUAAAUAGGAUAAUUAUCUUUUAAAAUUUUUUGGUGAAGAACAAAUAAUAAAAUAUUAAUUUAUAAUAAAAGGUUUUAGUAAAGUUUAUUAAACAAAAUUUUAUACCUAUAGUCAUCACUGUGAAGGAGUUUGAAUUAAAAUAAAUUAAAGUUAAAUAAAGUAAGUAAAUUCCUGUACCUUUUGUAUUAUGGAAAACUAAAAGUCUAAAGAAUUGUCUUUAUAAACGAAAUAAUACGAGUUACCCUUUUCCUAAUUAUAGAUUAAUAGCCUAACUGUAGCAAAAGUAAGGUUUGAGAAAAAGGUAGGAGUGAAACGCUAAUCGUGUAUUUUAUAGCUUUUUCUUGGAGAAGUUAGUAUAAGCUAAAACAAAAGUAAGUUUUUGGAUAACAUACUGGCUGAUCAUUGUGUUACUGGAGGAAAUAACCUUUUUUCUGAGGAAGGACAAUAAUAAAAAUAAAAACUUAAGAAGUAGGAUUCAAGCAUCCCUCUAUGAAGAAGGCGUUUGAGCUCCUUAAAAUAAAAUUAGAAAUUAUUGAUAAUUUAUCCGCCCUCGAAAGUUUUAUCCAAGCUAUAAACUAGUUUAUUUGAUAAUGGUUUUAUGAGUAAAAAAUAUUUGUCUUAAGAAAUAAAAAGGUUAAAAUAUAAAAACUUUUACCUGAGAACUAUAUUCUUAUCUUAGAAAAUAAAAAGUUUUAAAUAUAACGAAAGGAACUCGGCAAAACAUUUCCUCGCCUGUUUACCUAAAACAUCGCCUUUGGGUUUUGAUCAAAGGUCCUGCCUGCCCGGUGAUCUAAAAAGAUUAAACGGCUGCGGUAUUCUGACCGUGCAAAGGUAGCAUAAUCAUUUGCCUGUUAAUUCCAGGCUGGCAUCAACGGCUAGACGAAGGGAAUACUGUCUCUCAUUAUAUUUUUUGAAAUUAGUUUUCUGGUGAAGAAACCAGAAUACAAAAGUGGGACGAGAAGACCCUAUUGAGCUUUAAUCCUAAAAUAUUAUAAUCAAUAAUAAAGGGUUUUAGUUGGGGCAACUGAUUUUUUAAUAAGACAAAAUCUUAGUAGAUGAAUUAAAUCUAAAAGAGACCCACAUUUUCGUGGAAAAAGAAAAAGUUACCAUAGGGAUAACAGCGUAAUUUUCUUUGAGAGUACAUAUUGACAAGAAAGUUUGCGACCUCGAUGUUGGAUCAAGAUAUCCUGAAGGUGCAGCCGCUUUCAAGGGUGGGUUUGUUCAACCCAUAAAAUCUUACGCGAUCUGAGUUCAGUCCGUCGUGAGACAGGACAGUUUCUAUCUACUAUACUUCUCUUCUUGUACGAAAGGACUUUUGAGAAAUAAGGAUGAAUUAAAGUUCUCUUAUAUAAAACAUUAGAAUUAAUAAAACAAAAAUGCAGUUUAUAACUUUCUUCCGCUUUGAUGGAGAAACCAUUCUUGGAUAAACUUAGAUGGCCAUAUUUUUCUUAGGUUAAAUUUAACUUAAAAAUAAAACUUUAUGUGUAGUCCCCUUACCAAAAUUUUCUAAUAAGGAAAACUCUUUCUUUGUCACUCGUUAAUUUCUAUAAUUCCUUGGGGAUUUGACCCAAUUAAAAAAAAUGAAACGGAGAAGUGGGAGAGGCUUUAUAAGAAGUCGUGUUUUUAUAUAUAAUCUUUAUUAAGAAAUCGACUAGGCCCUAUGAGGUCUUAACUACUACUAGAAAGUAAAAAUGAAAGCUACACAUCUAUUUCCUUAAUAUAUUUCGAGGAAAGGUAAAAUUAAAGGUUUAUAAACCGAGA
rnacentral:rRNA from 1 species